rnacentral:rRNA from 1 species
ACACGAAGCUGGAAUCGCUAGUAAUCGCGGAUCAGAAUGCCGCGGUGAAUACGUUCCCGGGUCUUGUACACACCGCCCGUCACACCAUGGGAGUCAGCAACGCCCGAAGUCAGUGACCCAACCGUUAAGGAGGGAGCUGCCGAAGGCGGGGCAGGUGACUGGGGUGAAGUCGUAACAAGGUAUC